GGAAAUUGUGCAGGUUCCAUGGUGCCAAGUGGCCUCUGGCCAUCUUGAACUGGGACUCCAGUAACAAGUAGAUGUUGAACUGGGACAUUAGUUCUUUUGUUGAGUAGUGUGUAUUUUCUGCUCAUCUAAGUUUGACAACUAGUUCCUUGCUCUGCUCUGCUCCUGCUAGGUGCUCGCGGAGGAGGCCAAGGCGUUGUAAGACAAGGCCGUCUACAAGGUGCUCGAUCUGGUACGGUCUUUUAACCUCAGAAGGUUGAACCUCUCAUCAACGACAGCCGUCAUCGGUGAGCUCCUGGUUGCCUUGGCCUCCCGCGGCAUCUCCGACCGCCCCUACUCUUCUGACGAGCACAUGCUGCAGCUCCUAGAGAGGGUGCACGAAUGCCACUUCUUCCACCAGCGACCCUCCCCUCUACGCCCAGCCUGUGGAACACUUCGACGCCAUCUUUGGAGCUGCCAAUGUCUUCCUGCAGAUGACUGAUGAGCUGAUCUUCUUCCACCAUUGGUAGCGGGAGGUGAUGUUGGAGCAGUACAUUGAUCAGCAGAUGGCAAGGAGAAGCUGGGACAGCCCUAAUGCAGUAACAUCACCAUGUGGCAAAUCCAGUAGAUUGACACAACAUUGGUGCUUGGGUGACGGGACAAAGUAUGUGUACUAGUGAUGGUACAUGAUAUUCAUGCUUCUCAUUGAUGUUAUGUGUGAUCAGCUAAAAUUUGUGCUUCUUGUCCAAUCUAUGUGGAUGUGCGCUUGUGCACUUGUUGGGCCUUGAACCUUGCUGUGUAGAGGAGUCGAUUGAUGAUGUAUUGUAUUUCAUGUGAUGUGUUACUAAAAUGAAAUAUAUGAAAUAUUGUAUUA